rnacentral:rRNA from 1 species
UACGUAGGGGGCAAGCGUUGUCCGGAAUCAUUGGGCGUAAAGCGCGUGUAGGCGGCUCGGUAAGUCUGCUGUGAAAGUCCAGGGCUCAACCCUGGAAUGCCGGUGGAAACUGUCGAGCUAGAGUCCGGAAGAGGCGAGUGGAAUUCCUGGUGUAGCGGUGAAAUGCGCAGAUAUCAGGAGGAACACCAAUGGCGAAGGCAGCUCGCUGGGACGGUACUGACGCUGAGACGCGAAAGCGUGGGGAGCAAACAGG